rnacentral:rRNA from 1 species
CAAAACUACGGUCUCAGUUCAGAUUGCAGGCUGCAACUCGCCUGCAUGAAGUUGGAAUUGCUAGUAAUCGCGAAUCAGAAUGUCGCGGUGAAUACGUUCCCGGGCCUUGUACACACCGCCCGUCACACCAUGAGAGUCGAUAACACCCGAAGCCUGUGAGCUAACCUUUUAGGAGGCAGCAGUCGAAGGUGGGGUUGAUGAUUGGGGUGAAGUCGUAACAAGGUAAC